GGUGAACGCUAGCGGCAGGCCUAACACAUGCAAGUCGAGGGGGAGGUUACUUUCGGGUAACUGAGACCGGCGUACGGGUGCGUAACGCGUAUACAAUCUGCCUUUCACUGGGGGAUAGCCCGAAGAAAUUUGGAUUAAUACCCCAUAGUAUAGUAAUACGGCAUCGUGAUGCUAUUAAAGCUUAGGUGGUGAAAGAUGAGUAUGCGUUCUAUUAGCUAGUUGGAGAGGUAACGGCUCCCCAAGGCGAUGAUAGAUAGGGGUUCUGAGAGGGAUGUCCCCCACACUGGUACUGAGAUACGGACCAGACUCCUACGGGAGGCAGCAGUGAGGAAUAUUGGACAAUGGUCGGAAGACUGAUCCAGCCAUGCCGCGUGCAGGAUGAAGGUCUUAUGGAUUGUAAACUGCUUUUGUAAGGGAAGAAUAAGGGCUACGCGUAGUUUGAUGACGGUACCUUACGAAUAAGCAUCGGCUAACUCCGUG
rnacentral:rRNA from 1 species